rnacentral:rRNA from 1 species
UUAUGUGAUCGUCUCUCGCAUAUCAAUAAGCGGAGGAAAAGAAACUAACAAGGAUUCCCCUAGUAACGGCGAGUGAAGCGGGAAGAGCUCAAAUUUGAAAUCUUAAAGGGUUUCCCUUUACGAAUUGUAGUUUAAAGAAGUGUUUUCUGUUGAGGUUUUGGUAAAAGUUCUUUGGAAUAGGACAUCAUAGAGGGUGAGAAUCCCGUAUUUGACCUUUACUUUCAACUUUGUGGUACACUUUCAAAGAGUCGGAUUGUUUGGGAAUGCAGUCCAAAAUGGGUGGUAAAUUUCAUCUAAAGCUAAAUAUUGGCGAGAGACCGAUAGCGAACAAGUACCGUGAGGGAAAGAUGAAAAGAACUUUGAAAAGAGAGUUAAACAGUACGUGAAAUUGUCAAAAGGGAAGCGUUUGACACCAGUGUUGUUUUUCUGAAAAUCAAUUAAAGAACUGUUUAUGCUAAGCUGUUUAGACUUUAUCAGCUAUCUGUUUAGUUUUGAGCUUUUCUUUAAUGCACUUUUCAGUUAACAAGUCAACAUCAAUUUCUUUUGCUGUAAAAAAGCUUGAGGAAGGUGGCUUGAGAUUCGUCUUAAGUGUUUAUAGCCUCUUGCCUAUGCAGUCGGAGAGAUUGAGGUCUGCAGCGUAGAUCCUUCGGGGCUAAAUGCAUUUGUGCUAAGUUAUAGUAUUUUAUAGACAACUUGUUGACUAUGAUUUGUCUUGUAGCUUACUCGCUUAUGUUAUUUUACCUACGCUUAGGAUGUUGAUAUCGCGCUCUCACUG